rnacentral:rRNA from 1 species
UACGUAGGUGGCAAGCGUUGUCCGGAAUUACUGGGUGUAAAGCGCGUGUAGGCGGGAGGCCAAGUCUGCUGUGAAAUCGCCCGGCUCAACUGGGCGGGGUCGGUGGAAACUGGUCACCUGGAGGACGGUAGAGGCGAGUGGAAUUCCCGGUGUAGUGGUGAAAUGCGUAGAGAUCGGGAGGAACACCAGUGGCGAAGGCGGCUCGCUGGGACAUGACUGACGCUGAGACGCGAAAGCGUGGGAGCGAACAGG